AGCAGGGCUGGGCUGUGUCCACGGGCACUGCGGGAAGCCUGGGAGCUUCAGCAGCACUGACACUCGGGUCUGCAGUGUCACAAAGGACUGUGGGGCCCCUCAGUAGCCUUCAGGGAGUGGGGUCCAGCCCCCCAGCUAGCUGAGGCUGUGUGUGUAUGUGCAUGCAUGUGCUUGGAACUGUGUGAACAGGUUGGUUCAGGGAUGUCUCAUGAAGGGAACAGAAAGCAGAGGGCAGACUAGAGCAGACAGAGAAGUUUACAAGAAAGAAGGAGAGCAAUAAAAGAUCGUGAUACAGGGAGAAGCAGCAGAGCUUCGUGGAAGAGAGGGAGCAGGGCAUCCAAGGGAAUCCUGUAGCCUGCACUGCCUGAUAACAACAUCUGUACGAGAUGGAGUGACGUGGGCUGAAUGAAGUCUCGGCACAGUGUCUGGAGACAGGAGGCACUUAGGAACUGCAAGCUCUAUGGUCACAUGAGGACUGGCACCAGAGGCUCUUGCGUCUUCUCGGAGCCCAGCUCCACAGAGCCAGCAUCAGAGAUUCUCAUGUUUUCUUGGAGCCCUUUCCUGGUUGGUGAGGACAGCGGUGCUUCAGCUGGAGGAUAAUAUGUGGAAGCCCUGCCAUGAUGGUGCAUGUGCAAUGAAAUGUUGCAAUACCCCACCCACCCAGCAAAACAAAAGAGCCAACACCAAGUGGCCUUACUCUCCCAAAGAAGAGAAAGCUACACUGGCCGCCAGGGCGACUGAGGAAUUAUCAAAGUACCCUCUGGUGCUAAAUGUCUUUGGGUUCAGGUCUUGAGGCAGAAAAAACCCACAAAUCUCUCCAGUCCUUUUAGGUACUCAUUGGCAGAUGACUGUCAAGAAAUCCUUCACCCUGCCUUACAGCCCCUUGGUCAUGGAUCAGUGUCCCUCAUCAGCUCGGUGUGAAAGCUUUAACAGCAACAGUGGGUUUAUAAAUGAGAAAGCAAUGGGCUGGGGCUGGGGCAGGG